AAUGGAAUUGCUGGAUCAUAUGGUAAGGAUGUGUCUAAAUUUUUAAGAAACUGCCAAACUGUUUUCUAGAGUGGCUCUACCAUUUUACAUCCCCACCAGCAGU
rnacentral:pre_miRNA from 1 species